AGUGAACGCUGGCGGUAGGCCUAACACAUGCAAGUCGAACGGCAGCACAGUAAGAGCUUGCUCUUACGGGUGGCGAGUGGCGGACGGGUGAGGAAUACAUCGGAAUCUACUUUUUCGUGGGGGAUAACGUAGGGAAACUUACGCUAAUACCGCAUACGACCUACGGGUGAAAGCAGGGGAUCUUCGGACCUUGCGCGAUUGAAUGAGCCGAUGUCGGAUUAGCUAGUUGGCGGGGUAAAGGCCCACCAAGGCGACGAUCCGUAGCUGGUCUGAGAGGGUGAUCAGCCACACUGGAACUGAGACACGGUCCAGACUCCUACGGGAGGCAGCAGUGGAGAAUAUUGGACAAUGGGCGCAAGCCUGAUCCAGCCAUACCGCGUGGGUGAAGAAGGCCUUCGGGUUGUAAAGCCCUUUUGUUGGGAAAGAAAAGCAGCAGGUUAAUACCCCGCUGUUCUGACGGUACCCAAAGAAUAAGCACCGGCUAACUUCGUG
rnacentral:rRNA from 1 species